GACAGAGGGUGCAAACGUUGUUCGGAAUUACUGGGCGUAAAGCGCGCGCAGGCGGUCGCCUAAGCCUACCGUGAAAGCCCCCGGCUCAACCGGGGAGGGUCGGUGGGGACUGGGCGACUUGAGGACGGCAGGGGCUGGUGGAAUCCCCGGUGUAGUGGUGAAAUGCGUAGAGAUCGGGGGGAACACCCGUGGCGAAGGCGGCCAGCUGGGCCGGUCCUGACGCUGAGGCGCGAAGGCGUGGGGAGCGAACGGG
rnacentral:rRNA from 1 species